rnacentral:lncRNA from 1 species
AAGGCUUCCAUGACAAUGAGUAGCUAAAUCUCCUUUGUUGGGAUUAGAGGUACUUGAUCUUAGCUUAACAUGUAAUCUUUUGAUCUAUAAAUAUAUGGUUCUAGCAUUUGAUUUGAUAUUGAUGUUAUUCUUGCACUUUAAUCUUUAUCUUUGAUUUAAUUGUGAUUGAGAAAUACUUUUGAAUCUAGGUUUAGAAUAACCAUCUAUCAAAACAUAGGUUCUAGACAUGGAAUCGAUGUUUUGAUAAUCACUUUGUGUAUCCAAACCUAAAGCUUUCUUAUCAUUUUAUAGAUUGAGAAAUCAUCGAUUGAACGAUAAGAUCGACUCUUGAAUCAUUCAAUAGUUUGAGACAUCGACGAUUGAAUGAUACAAUUGAUUUCACAAUAUUGUUUGGACACGAAUAGUGUUGUCGAGGGAUA